rnacentral:lncRNA from 1 species
ACAGAUCAGGGUCAGUUGAAACACAAACACUCUUGACCCAAUCAACAAAAGUCUGGAAGGCGGUCCCUGUUUCCCUCCAAAACUAUGUCGUCUGCAGCCAACAUAAUUUCUCAGGCCAAAACAGGUACUCCUUCAAUCACUCACUCCACUCUAGGAAGAGUUAAAAUAACUAAUCAUUGACUUUCGCAAUAAAUUACGCCUCUCGCGUCUUGCUUUCCUAAGGUUUGCCAACUUAGGGUUUCUAGGUCCCAACGACCUAUAGCAAAGCUCUGAUACCAA